rnacentral:rRNA from 1 species
CCUAGGGCGGCUGCAGUGGGGAAUAUUGGACAAUGGGGGGAACCCUGAUCCAGCCAUGCCGCGUGUGUGAAGAAGGCCCUCGGGUUGUAAAGCACUUUCAGUGAGGAAGAACGCCUGGUGGUUAAUACCCAUCAGGAAAGACAUCACUCACAGAAGAAGCACCGGCUAACUCCGUGCCAGCAGCCGCGGUAAUACGGAGGGUGCGAGCGUUAAUCGGAAUUACUGGGCGUAAAGCGCGCGUAGGUGGCUUGAUAAGCCGGUUGUGAAAGCCCCGGGCUCAACCUGGGAACGGCAUCCGGAACUGUCAAGCUAGAGUGCAGGAGAGGAAGGUAGAAUUCCCGGUGUAGCGGUGAAAUGCGUAGAGAUCGGGAGGAAUACCAGUGGCGAAGGCGGCCUUCUGGACUGACACUGACACUGAGGUGCGAAAGCGUGGGUAGCAAACAGGAUUAGAUACCCUGGUAGUC